UAACACGUGGGUAACCUGCCCAUAAGACUGGGAUAACUCCGGGAAACCGGGGCUAAUACCGGAUAACAUUUUGAACCGCAUGGUUCGAAAUUGAAAGGCGGCUUCGGCUGUCACUUAUGGAUGGACCCGCGUCGCAUUAGCUAGUUGGUGAGGUAACGGCUCACCAAGGCAACGAUGCGUAGCCGACCUGAGAGGGUGAUCGGCCACACUGGGACUGAGACACGGCCCAGACUCCUACGGGAGGCAGCAGUAGGGAAUCUUCCGCAAUGGACGAAAGUCUGACGGAGCAACGCCGCGUGAGUGAUGAAGGCUUUCGGGUCGUAAAACUCUGUUGUUAGGGAAGAACAAGUGCUAGUUGAAUAAGCUGGCACCUUGACGGUACCUAACCAGAAAGCCACGGCUAACUACGUGCCAGCAGCCGCGGUAAUACGUAGGUGGCAAGCGUUAUCCGGAAUUAUUGGGCGUAAAGCGCGCGCAGGUGGUUUCUUAAGUCUGAUGUGAAAGCCCACGGCUCAACCGUGGAGGGUCAUUGGAAACUGGGAGACUUGAGUGCAGAAGAGGAAAGUGGAAUUCCAUGUGUAGCGGUGAAAUGCGUAGAGAUAUGGAGGAACACCAGUGGCGAAGCGACUUUCUGGUCUGUAACUGACACUGAGGCGCGAAAGCGUGGGGAGCAAACAGGAUUAGAUACGCUGGUAGUCCACGCCGUAAACAAUGAGUGCUAAGUGUUAGAGGGUUUCC
rnacentral:rRNA from 1 species